UACGGGGGGAGCAAGCGUGGUUCGGAUUUACUGGGCGUAAAGGGCGCGUAGGCGGUCAGCACAAGUCAGUUGUGAAAUCUCCGGGCUUAACUCGGAAAGGUCAACUGAUACUGUGCGACUAGAGUGCGGAAGGGGCAACUGGAAUUCUCGGUGUAGCGGUGAAAUGCGUAGAUAUCGAGAGGAACACCUGCGGCGAAGGCGGGUUGCUGUGCCGACACUGACGCUGAUGCGCGAAAGCCAGGGGAGCGAACGGG
rnacentral:rRNA from 1 species